AGCGAACGCUGGCGGCAGGCUUAACACAUGCAAGUCGAGCGGGCACCUUCGGGUGUCAGCGGCAGACGGGCGAGUAACACGUGGGAACGUGCCCUUUGGUUCGGAACAACUCCGGGAAACUGGAGCUAAUACCGGAUAAGCCCUUCGGGGAAAGGAUUAUCGCCAAAGGAUCGGCCCGCGUCUGAUUAGCUAGUUGGUGAGGUAAAGGCUCACCAAGGCGACGAUCAGUAGCUGGUCUGAGAGGAUGAUCAGCCACACUGGGACUGAGACACGGCCCAGACUCCUACGGGAGGCAGCAGUGGGGAAGUAUUGGACAAUGGGCGCAAGCCUGAUCCAGCCAUGCCGCGUGAGUGAUGAAGGCCCUAGGGUUGUAAAGCUCUUUUGUCCGGGAAGAUAAUGACUGUACCGGAAGAAGAAG
rnacentral:rRNA from 1 species